CACAUGGUACCAAAGUCUCUGUCACCAGAGAGAGGACCAUAACAUAGACCCCAUAGACCAUGAAAGGCACAGUGAUACCUCCUUCACCCUCUGCCUGGCUUCUGCUUCUGUCCUGUUUGAAGGAGUUGGAAUGGAGUCAUGAAUGCCUGCUCCAGUGUGACAGCUCAGGUUUACGGGAGGGCUCAGCCCGAGUCUGUUCUGCCAUUUCACGCAUGACCGUAGACACCUGACAUGAACCGCUCAUCACAGCGAGCAGAUCCAGAUCAAAUAGGCUAAGUCAGUCACAGAGAGAUUCUGUCCAGGCAGCUGGAGCUGUGCACUUCACAGACGUCGCCUCUUGUGCCAAUGGAGAUCACCUGGGCCCUCACCCCCCAUCAGCUGUUGUCGUUUGUAUUUGUUCCUGCUUGCCUUUUUUCCUGCUAUCAAGCUUGUCUAACAGGAAGUAACCUUAUCCAGCAGAGGCUCUAUGGAGAAUCAUUGAAAGGCUGUGACCAAGGGCAGCAUCUCCUCUCAGGACAGCAGGGAGGGCCUUGCCUGCAAGGU